AACGAACGCUGGCGGCAUGCCUAACACAUGCCAGUCGAACGAGACCUUCGGGUCUAGUGGCGCACGGGUGCGUAACGCGUGGGAACCUUCCCUUAGGUUCGGAAUAACUCCCCGAAAGGGGUGCUAAUACCGGAUAAUGUCUUCGGACCAAAGAUUUAUCGCCUUUGGAUGGGCCCGCGUUGGAUUAGCUAGUUGGUAGGGUAAAAGCCUACCAAGGCGACGAUCCAUAGCUGGUCUGAGAGGAUGAUCAGCCACACUGGGACUGAGACACGGCCCAGACUCCUACGGGAGGCAGCAGUGGGGAAUAUUGGACAAUGGGCGAAAGCCUGAUCCAGCAAUGCCGCGUGAGUGAUGAAGGCCUUAGGGUUGUAAAGCUCUUUUACCCGGGAUGAUAAUGACAGUACCGGGAGAAUAAGCUCCGGCUAACUCCGUG
rnacentral:rRNA from 1 species